rnacentral:rRNA from 1 species
UACGAAGGGGGCUAGCGUUGCUCGGAUUUACUGGGCGUAAAGGGCGCGUAGGCGGCUUUGUAAGUCAGAGGUGAAAUCCCGGAGCUCAACUCCGGAACUGCCUUUGAGACUGCAUCGCUUGAAUCCGGGAGAGGUGAGUGGAAUUCCGAGUGUAGAGGUGAAAUUCGUAGAUAUUCGGAAGAACACCAGUGGCGAAGGCGGCUCACUGGACCGGUAUUGACGCUGAUGUGCGAAAGCGUGGGGAGCAAACAGGG